rnacentral:rRNA from 1 species
GACGGAGGAUGCAAGCGUUAUCCGGAAUGAUUGGGCGUAAAGCGUCCGCAGGUGGCAGUUCAAGUCUGCUGUCAAAGACCGGGGCUUAACUUCGGAAAGGCAGUGGAAACUGAACAGCUAGAGUAUGGUAGGGGCAGAGGGAAUUCCUGGUGUAGCGGUGAAAUGCGUAGAGAUCAGGAAGAACAUCGGUGGCGAAGGCGCUCUGCUGGACCAUACCUGACACUCAGGGACGAAAGCUAGGGGAGCGAAUGGG